GAUGAACGCUGGCGGCGUGCCUAAUACAUGCAAGUCGAGCGAACAGACGAGGAGCUUGCUCCUCUGACGUUAGCGGCGGACGGGUGAGUAACACGUGGAUAACCUACCUAUAAGACUGGGAUAACUUCGGGAAACCGGAGCUAAUACCGGAUAAUAUAUUGAACCGCAUGGUUCAAUAGUGAAAGACGGUUUUGCUGUCACUUAUAGAUGGAUCCGCGCCGCAUUAGCUAGUUGGUAAGGUAACGGCUUACCAAGGCAACGAUGCGUAGCCGACCUGAGAGGGUGAUCGGCCACACUGGAACUGAGACACGGUCCAGACUCCUACGGGAGGCAGCAGUAGGGAAUCUUCCGCAAUGGGCGAAAGCCUGACGGAGCAACGCCGCGUGAGUGAUGAAGGUCUUCGGAUCGUAAAACUCUGUUAUUAGGGAAGAACAAAUGUGUAAGUAACUAUGCAUGUCUUGACGGUACCUAAUCAGAAAGCCACGGCUAACUACGUG
rnacentral:rRNA from 1 species